rnacentral:rRNA from 1 species
AGAGUUUGAUCAUGGCUCAGGACGAACGCUGGCGGCGUGCUUAACACAUGCAAGUGGUGCGACGAACCAGGGCUUGCCCUGGGGCCAAGCCGCGAACGGGUGAGUAACACGUGGGUAAUCUGCCCCGAUGACCGGGACAACCCGAGGAAACUCGGGCUAAUACCGGAUGUGGUGCACAGGCUUAAGCCCGUGUACUAAAGGAAGCUUCGGCCUCCGCAUUGGGAGGAGCCCGCGGCCCAUUAGCUUGUUGGUGGGGUAACGGCCUACCAAGGCAACGAUGGGUAGCUGGUCUGAGAGGACGAUCAGCCACACUGGGACUGAGACACGGCCCAGACUCCUACGGGAGGCAGCAGUGGGGAAUCUUGCGCAAUGCGCGAAAGCGUGACGCAGCAACGCCGCGUGGGGGAAGACGGCCUUCGGGUUGUAAACCCCUUUCAGGAGGGACGAAGGUUCGCCGGUGAAUAGCCGUGCGGAUUGACGGUACCUCCACAAGAAGCUCCGGCUAACUACGUGCCAGCAGCCGCGGUA